rnacentral:rRNA from 1 species
CGUGCCUAAUACAUGCAAGUCGAACGGAGAGUGCGGGAUUCGGUUUUGCAUCUUAGUGGCGAACGGGUGAGUAACGCGUGAGCAACCUGACUCAAAGAGGGGGAUAACAGCUGGAAACGGCCGCUAAUACCGCAUGAGACCACGGUGUCGCAUGGCACAGAGGUCAAAGAUUCAUCGCUUUGAGAGGGGCUCGCGUCCCAUUAGAUAGUUGGCGAGGUAACGGCUCACCCAAGUCGACGAUGGGUAGCCGAGCUGAGAGGCUGAUCGGCCACACUGGAACUGAGACACGGUCCAGACUCCUACGGGAGGCAGCAGUAGGGAAUAUUGGGCAAUGGGGCCGCAAGCCUGACCCAGCAACGCCGCGUGAGGGAAGAAGGUUUUCGGAUUGUAAACCUCUGUCCUUGGUGACGAAACAAAUGACGGUAGCCAAGGAGGAAGCCCCGGCUAACUACGUGCCAGCCGCCGC